rnacentral:misc_RNA from 1 species
GUGAAUCAUCGAAUCUUUGAACGCACCUUGCGCUCCUUGGUAUUCCGAGGAGCAUGCCUGUUUGAGUGUCAUUAAAUUCUCAACCCCUCCAGCUUUUACGAGUUGUGUGGGGCUUGGACUUGGGAGUUUGCGGGUCUUUAUCAAUAAAGGUCAGCUCUCCUGAAAUGCAUUAGCGGAACCGUUUGCAGUCCCGUCACUAGUGUGAUAACUAUCUACACUGUGAUGAUUGCUCUCUGACUAGUUCAGCUGCUAAUCGUCCACUACGGACAACACUUAAUGAACUUCUUGACCUCAAAUCAG